GUCUAUGGCCACAUUACCCUGAAUACGCCCAGUCUUGUCUGAUCCCAGAAGCUAAGCCGGGUGGGAACUGGUCAGUACUUGGAUGGGAAACAUGGCUGUCCUGAAGAGGAGACCCUGACUCAGCUGUGAUCU
rnacentral:rRNA from 1 species